UGGCAGUCCAGAGAGAAGACAUGAGUUCCC
rnacentral:piRNA from 1 species